rnacentral:rRNA from 1 species
CACGUAGGGCGCUAGCGUUGUCCGGAAUCAUUGGGCGUAAAGCGCGCGUAGGCGGCCCGGUAAGUCCGCUCUGAAAGUCCAGGGCUCAACCCUGGAAUGCGGGUGGAUACUGCCGGGCUCGAGUCCGGAAGAGGCGAGUGGAAUUCCUGGUGUAGCGGUGAAAUGCGUAGAUAUCGUAAGGAAGACCAGUGGCGAAGGCGGGUCUCUGGACAGUUCCUGACGCUGAGGCACGAAGGUCAGGGGAGCAAACGGG